rnacentral:ncRNA from 1 species
GUCUCUAGAUGUCGAGUACAUUGAAGAGAAGUCAGCAGAAGUCAUAGUACCAACUGGCAAACGAGCUGUGAAAAGCAGAGGACUCACAAAGUUGGGAAGGAC